UACAGAGGGUGCGAGCGUUAAUCGGAGUUACUGGGCGUAAAGGGCGCGUAGGCGGUUAUAUAAGAUUGUUGUGAAAUCCCUGGGCUUAACCUAGGAACUGCAUCGAUAACUGUAUGACUAGAGUAUUGUAGAGGGUAGUGGAAUUUCCGGUGUAGCGGUGAAAUGCGUAGAGAUCGGAAGGAACACCAGUGGCGAAGGCGGCUACCUGGACAAAUACUGACGCUGAGGCGCGAGAGCGUGGGGAGCAAACAGG
rnacentral:rRNA from 1 species